GUCCCCGUAGCUCAGUUGGACAGAGCGAUCGCCUCCUAAGCGAUAGGCCACAAGUUCGAUUCUUGUCGGGGACACCA
rnacentral:tRNA from 1 species